UUGUAUUUGCAAAUGUACACACCCUGUGGGAGGUGAUCUGUACAUACGCUGAGAUACUGUACAUAAAAUUGCCUCUGAAUCCCAAUCAUCUGAAAACCGUGUCCUCAGCCUUUGAUACCUUCAGCUGUUUUAUGAAAGUCCUCCAAGUGGAUGAAAGUAUCAACAACCGGAACAAGAGUUUUUCAUUGCCCUAUUUGAGAAGAGCUGCGUGAACGACUUUUAUAUUCAGGAUAGAGAUACAUUCAUCAAUCCAACCACCAGGAGCCGCACUUGCAACUUCAGCCUCCAUCAGAGGACCUCAGCUGCCCCAGCGAACAGGGCCUUCUGUACAGGGAAUGUGCUCCUCCUCGAAGCAUAGACAAGAAGCAGCCCUUAGAUCUCAUCAGGAAAUUCUACGGAGAGAAGGUCGGAAUCUACUUUGCUUGGGCUGGGCUAUUACAUUCAGAUGCUCCUCCUGGCAGCAGUCGUGGGGGUGACUUGCUUUCUGAAGAAGAGAGUUUUCCAUUUACCACCUGGGGAAAGUUUAUACAUAUAACCCUUUGUGCAAGUGCUCUUUUUCUGGGUAAGAACCUGCCACAGACUUUUUAAAAUCUAAUGUGAAAUCCUGAGAAAACUGAAAAUCAAGCUGGGAACUAUGAAGUCUCAUAGAGAAAACUUUUUCCAGAGAACAUCUGAGCCAAUGCAGGGCGCCACUCUGGAGGUUCCACAGUCUCUUCUGCUCACAGUGCUUCCCCCUAUUCUUUUCACCUCAUUUGUUCAAAUCAGAUCAGUGGUUUAGGAUUCUCCAGGGUCUGAUUAAGAGACCAGAUGGAGGCAUUAAGAUUUCUAAAAUUUCCCAAGAGUAACAACCAAGGUAAAAUGUCUAAGAAUAACCUAAGAAAAGGAUAGUAGGAACUAUCAAAAAAUAAAAGUAAAAACUACUGAAAGAUAUAAAAGAUGCUUUAAUCACAUGAUUCUAGAUUAAAAGAUCAUAUCUCCAAAAUAUCAGAAGUUAUAAAAUUGAUUUGGGGUUUAUUGUGAAUAAAAUCAUAUUAGUAAUAUAAUAAUUAAUAAGAUAAUGAGACUUUUAGUAGUUCAAGAAUAGCCAGAUUAGAAAAUAGGACAGGAAGUCCAGAUAUGGGCUCUGAUAUCAAUAAUAAUUUAAUAUAAGAGAUGGAAGGCAUUACAAAUCAGGGAGAUAAAUAAAGGUUAUUCAGUGAAUGGAACACUCGUUAGCUACUUGGGGGGAAAAGAAAAGAUUGAAAUCAUACAGUGAACCAUAUAUUGUGAUAAAUUCCAGAAACAUUUAAAAAGUAACACAAUUAGAAAAAAACUAGAAAUAAAUAUGGAUGUUUACACAAACUCUAGAUGAACAGUAAGUUUCUGAGGAAAGUAUACAAAGAUUUCCAUGCAUCAGAAGCAUCCUAAUUUUAAACAAAACACCAGAGGAUGUUAUUUGUUUACAAAUCCAACAAGGGGCUAAUUCCUUCAAUACAUAGAGAGUUCAGAUCACUUCAAAGGUAACAUCAAAAAAUCUCAGGAGCAUAGAAGGCAGAGAAAAGGAACACACAUUCACAAAGAAAAAUAGAUGUCACACUCCAAUGGUAAUUCACUCAGUGCACAUCAAAAUGAAGUAGUUUUCCACCUCUCAAGUGACACAGCUCUGUUUAUGAGGAUGAAAUGCCAGUGAUCACCAAUCCCAUGCCUAGGUUACUGGAUAUUUUUUGUGAAGUAUGGUUGAUUUACAAUGCUGUGUUAAUUUCUGGUGUACUCCUCAAGCUUUCUUAGAAAGCAGUCUGGCAGUUGAUAUCAAGAGUCAAAAAUAUUCCUAUGUUUUAAUCAACUAAUUCAGCUUUGAAAAACUUUUAAUCAGGAAGUAUUUCAAAAUGGCAGGGAAAAGUCAGUACGGAUG